UCUGUCGUUCUUUCUCUCUAGGAACGCGCUAUUGAGAGUUGAUGCUGUCUCGUCUGAUGCAGUUUGGUACUGGCCUUCUCUGGAUCGAUAAUCCGUGGAUCUAGCUGAGGGGACGACUGGACGGUGCAGGUGAAGCAAUUUCCUUCAAGAUGUGAACAUCUAUGCGUGGGUGGAUUUUUCGAAAAAGAAAUACAAAGUUGUCGUUCAAUGUUAUACUCCAAUGUUUCACAUUAUUCCAAAUUGAAGCAUUAAUUCCCUAUUUGUGUAGCAUAAAUAUCUUCAGCGAUAAGAUAAUCACACUCCAUAUUUUCCCCUUCUUUCUCCUUUUGCACCUCCACUGGAAAAGAUAAACUCCUCGUCACGUGAUCCGGAAGUAAAUAAAACAGUUCUUCUGUUGAAACAAGACGUUUAUUGCUCAAUCUAUAAAAAAACAGACGAAAGGGCAAGGUGUGCACCUGUUACAGGCCGUGCAUCGGCACCGAGAGAAAAAUAUACCUCGAUUAAUUAAAAUCUAUUACCAUCGCGACAACAAUUACAAUUAGUUUAACCGGUAUAUCGUAAUGCGUACGACGUAUACACACAAUAAUGCACGUGUAGUUUCCGAAGCUUCCGAUCUUGUUUCUUACCGAGUUGAUCUUCGUUUCUUGUAAAAAACUUUCACCUAAAAAACAUAAAGUUUGUGUUUUCAUUCUCCUUCGUCGACGAUAUUUCAUUAUCCGAAAGGAAGAACAACAGCCAAGUUGAAAUUUGCAUGAAAUUGCGUGUAAAUCGAUUGAUAUUAUAAUUUACCUUCUUUUCUUCUUUGUUUUUUUUUUCAGGAAAGAAUACAUCGGUUAAACGAUUGAUAAUCUUAAUAUAUAUUUUCCCUCAUAUAAAAUUUACCUUUAAUAACGCUGACUGCGUUCAACGAUUAAUUUUAUAAUUACGGUUUAAUUAGUCAAAUUUGCGAUUAGUGAAACGCAGUUAACAAUGAAUUUCUGCACAAUUGAUAGAACAAUAUCUCUUCUAAGUUAUCUCGAUGAUCCACGUGGCGAUCUUAUCGUAGACUUUUU